rnacentral:rRNA from 1 species
UAGUCAUAUGCUUGUCUCAAAGAUUAAGCCAUGCAUGUCUAAGUAUAAACAUCUUUAUACAGUGAAACUGCGUACAGCUCAUUAUAUCAGUUAUGAUUUAUUUGAUGGUACCUUACUACAUGGAUACCCGUAGUAAUUCUAGAGCUAAUACAUGCGUACAAUCCCGACUACUCGUUGGAAGGGAUGUAUUUAUUAGAUUCAAACCCAAUGCAGUAGCAAUACUGGUUCUCAUUGGUGACUCAUAGUAACUUGUCGAAUCGCAUGGCCUUGUGCUGGCG